rnacentral:rRNA from 1 species
UACGGGGGGGGCAAGCGUUGUUCGGAAUUACUGGGCGUAAAGGGCGCGUAGGCGGCCACCGCAAGUCGGUUGUGAAAUCUCUGGGCUUAACCCAGAAAGGUCAACCGAUACUGCGGGGCUAGAGUGCAGAAGGGGCAACUGGAAUUCUCGGUGUAGCGGUGAAAUGCGUAGAUAUCGAGAGGAACACCUGCGGCGAAGGCGGGUUGCUGGGCUGACACGUGACGCUGAAGCGCGAAAGCUAGGGGAGCGAACGGG